UGGGGAAUUUUGGACAAUGGGGGCAACCCUGAUCCAGCCAUGCCGCGUGUGGGAAGAAGGCCUUCGGGUUGUAAACCACUUUUGUCAGGGAAGAAAUGGACUUUUCUAAUACGAGAGUUCGAUGACGGUACCUGGAGAAUAAGCACCGGCUAACUACGUGCCAGCAGCCGCGGUAAUACGUAGGGUGCAAGCGUUAAUCGGAAUUACUGGGCGUAAAGCGUGCGCAGGCGGUUCUGCAAGUCAGAUGUGAAAGCCCCGGGCUCAACCUGGGAAUUGCAUUUGAAACUACAGGGCUAGAGUGUGUCAGAGGGGGGUAGAAUUCCACGUGUAGCAGUGAAAUGCGUAGAGAUGUGGAGGAAUACCGAUGGCGAAGGCAGCCCCCUGGGAUGACACUGACGCUCAUGCACGAAAGCGUGGGGAGCAAACAGGAUUAGAUACCCCUGUAGUCC
rnacentral:rRNA from 1 species